rnacentral:rRNA from 1 species
UACGUAGGGGGCAAGCGUUAUCCGGAUUUACUGGGUGUAAAGGGGGCGCAGACGGCGAUGCAAGCCAGGAGUGAAGGCCCGGGGCCCAACCCCGGGACUGCUCUUGGAACUGCGUGGCUGGAGUGCAGGAGGGGCAGGCGGAAUUCCUGGUGUAGCGGUGAAAUGCGUAGAUAUCAGGAGGAACACCGGUGGCGAAGGCGGCCUGCUGGACUGCAACUGACGUUGAGGCCCGAAAGCGUGGGGAGCAAACAGG